GAACGAACGCUGGCGGCGUGGCUUAGGCAUGCAAGUCGAACGAGAAUCCCGGGGCAACUCGGGUAGUAAAGUGGCGAAAGGGUGAGUAAUGCAUCGACAACCUGCCCUCAAGAGUGGCACAACCCCUGGAAACGGGGGCUAAUACCACGUAACGUUCCCGGGAGGCAUCUUCUGGGAACCAAAGGAUGGGGACCCUUCGGGGCCUAUCGCUGGAGGAGGGGUCGAUGUCCUAUUAGCUAGUUGGUGGGGUAACGGCCUACCAAGGCAUAGAUGGGUAGCUGGCCUAAGAGGGUGGUCAGCCACACUGGGACUGAGACACUGCCCAGACUCCUACGGGAGGCUGCAGUCGAGAAUCUUCGGCAAUGGGCGAAAGCCUGACCGAGCGACGCCGCGUGGGGGAUGAAGGCCUUCGGGUUGUAAACCCCUGUCAGGUGUUAAGAAACCUUGCUCCAUAACAUGGGGCUGGGUUGACAAAGGCACCAGAGGAAGUCAUGGCUAACUCUGUGCCAGCAGCCGCGGUAAGACAGAGAUGACAAGCGUUGUUCGAAUUUACUGGGCAUACAGGGCAUGUAGGCGGCCCGAUCCGUCAGAGGUGAAAUCCCCCGGCUUAACCGAGGAAUUGCCUUUGAAACAAUCGGGCUUGAGGACGAGAGGGGAGAGUGGGAAUUCCUGGUGGAGCGGUGAAAUGCGUAGAUAUCAGGAAGAACGCCCGGUGGCGAAAGCGACUCUCUGGUUCGUCCCUGACGCUGAGGUGCGAAAGCUAGGGGAGCAAACGGGAUUAGAUACCCCGGUAGUCCUAGCCGUAAACGAUGGGCACUACGUAGUGGUGGGACCGAUCCCAUCACUGCCGGAGCAAAUGUCUUAAGUGCCCCGCCUGGGGAGUACGGCCGCAAGGCUAAAACUCAAAGGAAUUGACGGGGGCUCGCACAAGCGGUGGAGCAUGUGGUUCAAUUCGAAGCAACGCGAAGAACCUUACCAGGGUUUGAAAAGCUAGCUGUAACCCCCCGAAAGGGAGGCGAACCGUAAAGUCGGAAGCUAGUACAGGUGCUGCAUGGCUGUCGUCAGCUCGUGCCGUGAGGUGUCGGGUUAAGUCCUCUAACGAGCGAAACUCCUACCCCUAGUUGCCAGCGGGUCAUGCCGGGGACUCUAGGGGGACUGCUCCGUUUAACGGGGAGGAAGGUGGGAACGACGUCAAGUCAUCAUGGCCCUUAUGUCCUGGGCUACACACGUGCCACAAUGGCCGGUACAAAGGGACGCGAUACCGCGAGGUGGAGCAAAUCCCUAAAAGCCGGUCUCAGUUCGGAUCGGAGGCUGCAAUUCGCCUCCGUGAAGCUGGAAUCGCUAGUAAUCGCAGGUCAGCCACACUGCGGUGAAUGUGUUCCUGAGCCUUGUACACACCGCC
rnacentral:rRNA from 1 species